GGACUACCGGGGUAUCUAAUCCCGUUUGCUCCCCUGGCUUUCGCGCCUCAGCGUCAGAUAAGGUCCAGCGUGCCGCCUUCGCCACCGGAGUUCCUAUUGAUAUCAACGCAUUUCACCGCUCCACCAAUAGUUCCGCACGCCCCUACCUUCCUCGAGACACCCAGUAUCCAUGGCAGUUCGACAGUUAAGCUGCCGGAUUUCACCACAGACUUUGAUGCCCGCCUACGCGCCCUUUAAGCCCAGUGAUUCCGAAUAACGUUUGCUCGGUUCGUCUUACCGCGGCUGCUGGCAC
rnacentral:rRNA from 1 species